ACCGUAUCUCAUCGGACCUCUAUAGGCUGUUGCUUGGUGAGGAGGAAGAUAAUGCUACCAAUACAUCAGCUGCACCUAAGCCUGACCCUGAUGGUAAAAAUCAUGAUGUUGAUGCUACUUAGAAACAUGAUGUUGCUGGUUUUUAGAAGGACGAGAAGACACUGGACAAUCAGUUAGAUAUUGUUGAAGGGAUGAAGUUUGAUAGGGGUUACAUAUCACCAUACUUCAUCACAAAUCAGAAGAAUCAGAAAUCUUUAUGGUUUUGGUUUGCUAAUCUUAGUUAAGCUUGCACAUGUGUUGUGCUAACGCUUUUUACAUAUGUUUCAUUAUUCUCCUUUUUGGUUAAAUUCACUAUGCUUCUGCUAUGCCUUGCAGGAACUCGAGGACCCACUAAUUCUUAUUCACGAGAAAAAGAUAUCAAGCAUUAAUACUGUUGUGAGAACAUUAGAGUUAGCUCUAAAGGUUUACGCCAUCAAAGCACCGGGCAUUGGCGAAAAUAGGAGAGACAAUUUGCAAGAUCUCACUAUUUUAACUUGAGGCCAA